rnacentral:rRNA from 1 species
UCGCACCUACCGAUUGAAUGGUCCGGUGAAAUCUUUGGAUUGUGACUUUUGUUCUAUUUCGGUAGACAGCUGUCGUGAGAAGUUGAUUAAAUCUUACCAUUUAGAGGAAGGUG